rnacentral:rRNA from 1 species
UACGGGGGGAGCAAGCGUUGUUCGGAUUUACUGGGCGUAAAGGGCGCGUAGGCGGCGCAACAAGUCACUUGUGAAAUCUCCGGGCUUAACUCGGAGCGGCCAAGUGAUACUGUCGUGCUAGAGUGCGGAAGGGGCUACUGGAAUUCUCGGUGUAGCGGUGAAAUGCGUAGAUAUCGAGAGGAACACCUGCGGCGAAGGCGGCUGCCUGGGCCUGGCCUGACGCUGAGGCGCGAAAGCGUGGGGAGCGAUCCGG